rnacentral:rRNA from 1 species
AUUGAACGCUGGCGGCAGGCCUAACACAUGCAAGUCGAACGGUAACAGGAAACAGCUUGCUGUUUCGCUGACGAGUGGCGGACGGGUGAGUAAUGUCUGGGAAACUGCCUGAUGGAGGGGGAUAACUACUGGAAACGGUAGCUAAUACCGCAUAACGUCGCAAGACCAAAGAGGGGGACCCUCGGGCCUCUUGCCAUCGGAUGUGCCCAGAUGGGAUUAGCUUGUUGGUGGGGUAACGGCUCACCAAGGCGACGAUCCCUAGCUGGUCUGAGAGGAUGACCAGCCACACUGGAACUGAGACUCGGUCCAGACUCCUACGGGAGGCAGCAGUGGGGAAUAUUGCACAAUGGGCGCAAGCCUGAUGCAGCCAUGCCGCGUGUAUGAAGAAGGCCUUCGGGUUGUAAAGUACUUUCAGCGGGGAGGAAGGGAGUAAAGUUAAUACCUUUGCUCAUUGACGUUACCCGCAGAAGAAGCACCGGCUAACUCCGUG